AAGGUGGAUUUGUAAGUAAUUAUUUUAUAUAAUUAAUAAAUGAAGGGUGGAAUAACAUGUGUACAUAUUGCCCGUCGCUCUCGUUAUUUUUGAGAUAAGUCGUAACAUAGUUGAUGGACUGGAAAGUGUAUCUUUUUGA
rnacentral:rRNA from 1 species